CCCGCCUCUCGCGCCAUCCAUUCUUUGGAAUCUCUGCUAUUCGCCAUUCUCACUUGCUCUAGCAUGAACUCUCUCUUCCAUGGGCUGGACACUGGUUUUCCAAGAAAAAACAAUUUAUUAGAGAACAUAGAACAUGAUGAGUUGGGUUCGUGCCUUAAAGUGAAAAGAAAGUUGGAUAAUUAGAAGUUGCAGAAGAAGUUGUGUAAGGCAGGAUUUUCGAAGCAUUGAUUUAUUGAUGCCUUUUCAUACUGCGAUUUCUCAAGGUACUGCUUCUCUUUAAUCUCCUUUUGAUGUUUCAUUACACCGUGUUAGAUACUAUACAAUUUAAGGUUACCAUAUAUACCAUGAAAAUCAAAAGAACUCAAAUAUUUCAAAUAUAAUUUGAUUCUUGAAUGUAUGAUGCAAAUAUAUGCCAAAGAAAGAGAAUUAUCAC